GGAUGUGAGGGCGAUCUGGCUGCGACAUCUGUCACCCCAUUGAUUGCCAGGGUUGAUUCGGCUGAUCUGGCUGGCUAGGCGGGUGUCCCCUUCCUCCCUCACCGCUCCAUGUGCGUCCCUCCCGAAGCUGCGCGCUCGGUCGAAGAGAACGGCCUUCCCCGAAUAGAGACGGACCGGUCUUCGGUCGAGGGUAUACGAGUAGCUGCACUCCCCUGCUAGAACCUCCAAACAAGCUCUCAAGGUAGGAAGAAGAAGACAGUCAUGCUAGGUAGUUGUGCAAACCCCAAAAGAACGCUGAAGGCUGGUGAAGGGGUUUAGAGCUUCCUGG
ensembl:misc_RNA 7SK 7SK RNA